GCCUGGACUGCUGCAGCUGGUGGGCUGGCCUGUUGCUUAGGCUGCUGCAAUUGGGGUAGGCCUGUUUUUUUUCUGCAGGUCUUGCUGUUUUUUCUUUUUCUUCUUUUCUGGGCAAGCCUGCUGUUUUGGGCCUGCUGGAGCACGGGUCGGGUCACAGGUUGGUGGAUCGAGUUGCAGCUUGGGUCGGGUCAACACGGGUCGGGUCAACCCGACUGAUUUAAUUUUUUUUCUUUUUCUUUCCUUUUUAUUUUUUCCCUUCUUUCUUUCUUUCUUCUUUCUUUCUUUCUUUCUUCCCCGUUCAGCAGCACCCCCCAUUUGUCGCCGGUGAUGUCUCUCUGCCUGGUGCGACGACCGGAGGGGUGCGCAAGGAGGUCUCUUCUUUCCCUCCCUUUUUCCCCUUUUCUUUUUCUUCUUUGCUCUUUCCUUUUUUUUCUCUUUUGCUUGUUGCUUUUUCUCUUUGUUUUUGUUUUUUUUUUUUUGCGUUUAGGACUCGACGGUGGGAUGACAAUGGUGGUGGCGCGACGAUCAUGGUGGCGGUGGAGGCAAUCGGCUGGAUUUGAGAGCCUCUUUUUCCUUUUCUCCUCUUUAAUGCCUCAAUUUUUGUCCUCAUCCUUCUUGUUUUUAGGUGGCAAUGGAGGUGGAGAGCAUGGCUGAUUGGCGGUGUCAGGCGUGAAGUGCAGUGUACGCCCGGAUGCUGGUUGGGGGCAGUCUUGUCAUGCC
rnacentral:lncRNA from 1 species